AUAUAUGAAAUAGAUGAACCAUUUGGAAGAAGUUUACAGAAAUAAAGACAAUUAUCCAUGACUAGUUUAGCAUGCAUCUCCUAAAAAUAAGGUCAUUCUCUUUCACAACCAAAGUCCAUUCUAACACCUUGCUCUGAAUCUGUGUGUUGUUGGGUUUUUGGAUAAAAGUUGAAUCAAGGUAUAUACACAUCACAUGGUUGCUGUGCCACUUGAUCUCCUUCACUCUAGACUCUGGAACACCCCACCCACCUCUUAGUGUUGUCAUCGACGCCGAAGGUCCUAGGGUCUCCAUCCCCCACAUUCUUUGGCCCUGGAUGGGGCCUGGGCAUCUGACUGGAGCUUGUACUUGACCCUCACAGCAGCCAAAGUCCCUGACAUCAGGAUGGCUGCUACGUGUCACUACUGGAGGAAGGGGCUGCUUAAGGAGUAAAGUCAUUGCAGGAGGAACACCUGUUUGUAAAGCCCCUCCCCCAUCCCAGGGACCUGGUAGCCAGCGCUGUGCUAUAUCCCGUCCUCCCUUGGUCGAAAGUGUUUUUCCCUCCCUUCCUCUCUUGACAGCUGUGUAGACUCACGAACUUCGACUUACUCGUGUUGUCAGUAAGUCCAGUCACUGUGUGUAGCCUUUCCAAGUCUACACGCUCGCCUGCGUCUCUGACAAAUGCCCUUUCACACAGCGGCUCUGCUUUGCUUUCUGGCACAAGGUGUCCUGUCUCACCUUGGACUUGGCCUGCCUCCCUUUGGAAAUCAGCCACUUCUAGAGAGAAACGGGUCCUAGCUGGGACCACCUGGUUCCUAGGGGUUACGUGCAUUUCCAGUAGAAAGGAAGACAUCUAGCUGUCUGAACCUGGAGUUCCCCUCGUGGUUCAGUGGUAAAGAACCUGGCUAGUAUUCAGGAGAAUGCAGGUUUGAUCCCUGGCCCUGCUCAGCAGAUUAAGGAUCGGCGUUGCUGUGGCUGUGGUGUAAGCCGGCAGCUAAAGCUCAAUUCGAGCCCUAGCCUGGAAACGACCAUAUGCCAUGGGUGUGGCCCUGAAAAGACACACACAUGCGCGCGCACACACACACACACACACACACGCCCCAGCUGUCUGAACCAUUCUUCUGAGCAGAUGGAAUGUUUCUUAUUCAGUAGAACUAUCUGGGCUUCAUAAACACCUAGAGGUAAAUUAGCCCUUGUCCAGGCUUUUUGAUCUCAAAUCCCUAAGAGGCAGAGGUUGAACCGAGGGGUCUGAGUGAGAACUUGCACGUUAUUGCCAAGGGUCUGGGUAUAGGAGGUGGGGAUUUCACAGCUGUGAGUAGCGUCCACAGGCUGCUGGAGUCGAGGACAGAUGUUCCCUGAGAAUCGGGUGGAAUGUAGGUGAAGACUGCUAUUACAAUUCUGAGUCAUCCUGCAGAGACUGGAGCCACGUUCAAUAACUAUUAUUCUACCAAUAAUUUUAGAAAAAUAUCUGUUUAGAAAUCAGGGUCAAUGGACACCCAAAACAUCUGACUGUUUGCAUGUUUAUAUUUAGAAACAGUUUCCAAAAACUUUGGAAGAUGCUGAAUGGCUUCAGUAUGAACACCCUAGAUGCUCAGUACAUCUCAUUUAAGUAAAUUGGGUAAAAAUCUUAGAGGAAAAAAAACACAUUGGUUUUAUUUUGUUGAACUGGCAGAAUUUCUAUAAAAUGAUCUUUUUUUUUUUUUUUUUUUUUUGUCUUUUUAGGGCCACACCCGCAACAUAUGGAAGUUCCCAGGCUAGUGGUCCAAUUGGAGCUGCAGCUACCAGCCUACACCACAGCCUCAGCAACACCAGAUCUGAGCCACAUCUGCGACCUACACCACAGCCCAUGGCAAUGCCAGAUCCUUAACCCACUGAGAGAGGCCAGAGAUCAAACCUGCAUCCUCAUGGAUACUAGUUGGGUUCAUUACUGCUGAGCCACAAUGGGAACUCCCUAAAAUGAUUUUAUUAUAAAUCGCAAGAUUAGCAAAUAUUUUGUAGCUUGCUUUCAGAAACUUGGAGGCUUCCAGUUCUAGGAGGAUGGUGUAGAUGCCCUUUCCUCUGUCCCUCCCAUGAGUACAACUAAAAUCCCUGGGUGUCAGAUGUAAAACAAACAUGAGAAGAUCCGGAAGCUGGAGGGAAAAGGCAGACAGCCAGGGCUGGACUCAAGAAACCCCACCAUGGGGAGUUCCUGGAUUUUCUAUGUGCUGCAAAGUUCCAACUAGGAGCUGGAGAAGCCGAUGGCCCAGAGGCACGGAGGGAAUCAGACAGCAAUGCCCCCUCCCAGAAAGGCCAGGAGAGGAGCAUCCUCACCGGGGGAGCACCUGUGGGCAGUACUCACUCCAGCCAAGCAGUGAAGCCCCACCCCAGCAAAGGGCGAGUGGGUUCCCCAGGCCUCCACCUCCAGGGCUGGAUGGAGUCAGCCUGCCUCCUAUGGGGGUGAUGUCCAUGACUCCCACCAGUUCCCAAGGGUCAGCAGAGUCCAGGUGGGGAAGCUGCCAGAUGAGAUGACACCUUGCCCUCACCUGCCGGGUCAGAGUCACAGGAAGCCAGCAGGAGGUUUAAAUAAGAGCCAGGCUCUUAACACAAUACCCUGAGUGUCCAAGCUUUGUUAGAAAAUCAGUGAUCAUAGAGAGAACCAGAACGAUUUCAAAACAAAUGAGAAAGGACAGUCAAUAGACACCAACACCAAGAUGACAGAGGUCUUAGAAUUACUGGGCAAAGACUUUUAAAGCAGCCAUUGUAAAAACACUUCAGUGAGCAAUUACAAACACACUUGAAACACAUGGAAAGAUAGUCUUACAGAGAGUGAGAAAGUUUCAGGGAAGGAACAGAAGACAUCAAGAAGAACAGAAGGGACAUUUUAGAACCAAAAUGUAUGAAAAGUGAAAUGAAAAGCUCAGUGGAUGGAAUCAAGGGCAGAUGGAGAGAGAGAUGAAAGAAUCAGUGGCUGGAAGAUUGAACUCGGAAAUUGUCCCAUCUGAGCAGAGAGAGAAAAUAGACCAAAAACGGAACAGAGCCUCGGGGACCUGAGGGAUUAACAAGAUCCAGCAUUCAUGCCAGCAGAGUCCUGCGAGGGGAGGGGAGAGUAGCUGGGCUGAAAAGUGCUUGAAGAAAUAAUGACUUAAAACUUCUCAAAUUUGGCAAUAGAAUAUAAAUCUAAAGAUUUAAGAAGUGAAUGAGUUCUAAAUAGUGUAAACCACAAAAGCUCCAUGCCAACUCGUCCUAAUCAAACUUCUGAGAACUAAAGAGAAUGUAAAAUCUUGAAGGCGGAGAGAAAAGACACCUUCCUUACUGGGGGCAGUGGCUUUCUCAUCAGAAACCGUGGAGGCCAGAGGGUAUGAAAUGUGUUUGUGGUGUUAAAAGAGAAAACCUGUAACUCAGAAUCUAAAAGGCAGCAAAAACUAUCCUUGACGAAUGAAGGUGAAAUCAGAACUCUCUUAGAUGGAGGAAAACUAAGAGUGUGUCCCCAGCAGACCUGCUCUUAAAUAUUAGCAAAUUGGAAUUUCCCUGAAGAGAAAGGAAACCGUAAAAGAAGGAAUCUUGAAGCAUCAGGGAGGGACAACAUAGCAAACAAAAAUAGGAGUAAAUGCGAUAGACUUUUCUUCUCCUCUUGAGUUUUCUAAAAUAUGUUUGAUGGUGGGAAGAAAAUUUUAUAACACUUUCUGAUAUGAUUCUAAACAUAUGUAGGGGAAUUAUUUAAGACAGUUAUAAAUGGGGCAUGAUAUAGGUAUGUAAAGAAAAGUUAGGGGUCCCACUUCUCUCAAACUGGUAAAGCAGCACCACCAGUAGACGGUGAUAAGUUCUGUGUAUAUGACGCAACACCUAAAGCAACUACUAAGUACACACAAAAAUGCUGUGGAUGAGUCAAGAUCGAAUCCUUUUGUUUUGUUUUGUUUUCUCUUUUUAGGGCCAUAACCAUGGCAUGUGGAAGUUUCCACGCUAGAGGUCGAAUCAGAGCUGUAGCUGCCGGCCUAUACCACAGCCACAGCAUGCCAGAUCCAAGUCAUGUUUGCUACCUACACCACAGCUCACGGCAACACUGGAUCCCUAACCCACUUGAGCAAAGCCGGAGAUUGAACCCACAUCCUCAUGGAUACUAGUCAGGUUCAUUGCAGCUGAGCCACAACAGGAACACCCUCAAGACUGAAUUCUAAAGUAUAUUCAAGCAAUCCACAAGGAGACAGGAAAAAUAAAACAGAACUGAAGAACCGAGAACAGAAAACAAAAAAUAAGAUUGGAGAUUAUAUCAAUAAUUACAUUAUUACAUAUCAAUAAUUCUAUUACAAUCAAUAAUUACAUUGAUUGUUACAAAUGGUAUAAACAAAACUAAUGCCAAUUAAAAGGCAGAGAUUGACAAAAUAGAUGUAAAAAGAUGACCCAUUUAUAUGUUUAUCUAUAAGAAAGUCACUUCAAAUUUAACGAUAGAAGCAGGUUGAAAGUAAAAAGAAUAAGAUAUAUCAUGCAAAAGAAAGUUUUAGUCUUUGAUAAAAUAGGUAAGGGGCAAAUAAAAUUGUCAGAAUAAUAGGAAUGUUAUAUAAUAAUAAAGGAUAGAUGCACUAAGAAGACAAAGCAAUCCUAAAUGUGUGCGUGCCACACAGCAGAGCCGCACAGCAUGUGACGAGUGACAGGGUUGAAAGCAAGUUUGAGGUUUAGCACAAUUCCUAUCAAAAUCCCAGUGCAGGAGUUCCCGUCAUGGCUCGGUGGUUAAUGAAUCUGACUAGGAACCAUAAGGUUGCAGGUUCGAUCCCUGGCCUUGCUCAGUGGGUUAAGGAUCCCGCAUUGCCGUGAGCUGUGGUGUAGGUUGCAGACAUGGCUCGGAUCCCAUGUUGCUGUGGCUCUGGCAUGUGUAGGCCGGCGGCUACAGCUCCGAUUUGACCCCUAGCCCGGAAACCUCCCUAUGCCGUGGGAGUGGCCCAAGAAAU
rnacentral:lncRNA from 1 species